rnacentral:rRNA from 1 species
CGAAAACGAAUUCUCUCUUGAGUGGAUCCUGAGUACGACGGAGCACGUGAAAUUCCGUCGGAAUCUGGGAGGACCAUCUCCUAAGGCUAAAUACUCUCUAGUGACCGAUAGUGAACCAGUACCGUGAGGGAAAGGUGAAAAGUACCCCGGAAGGGGAGUGAAAGAGAACUUGAAACCGUGUGCUUACAAGUAGUCAGAGCCCGUUAAUGGGUGAUGGCGUGCCUUUUGUAGAAUGAACCGGCGAGUUACGAUCUGAUGCAAGGUUAAGCAGAAAAUGUGGAGCCGUAGCGAAAGCGAGUCUGAAUAGGGCGAAUGAGUAUUUGGUCGUAGACCCGAAACCAGGUGAUCUACCCUUGGUCAGGUUGAAGUUCAGGUAACACUGAAUGGAGGACCGAACCGACUUACGUUGAAAAGUGAGCGGAUGAACUGAGGGUAGCGGAGAAAUUCCAAUCGAACUUGGAGAUAGCUGGUUCUCUCCGAAAUAGCUUUAGGGCUAGCCUCAAGUGAUGAUUAUUGGAGGUAGAGCACUGUUUGGACGAGGGGCCCCUCUCGGGUUACCGAAUUCAGACAAACUCCGAAUGCCAAAUAAUUUAACUUGGGAGUCAGAAUGUGGGUGAUAAGGUCCAUAUUCGAAAGGGAAACAGCCCAGACCACCAGCUAAGGUCCCAAAAUAUAUGUUAAGUGGAAAAGGAUGUGGCGUUGCCCAGACAACUAGGAUGUUGGCUUAGAAGCAGCCAUCAUUUAAAGAGUGCGUAAUAGCUCACUAGUCGAGUGACACUGCGCCGAAAAUGUACCGGGGCUAAACAUAUUACCGAAGCUGUGGAUUGUCCUUUGGACAAUGGUAGGAGAGCGUUCUAAGGGCGUUGAAGCAUGAUCGCAAGGACAUGUGGAGCGCUUAGAAGUGAGAAUGCCGGUGUGAGUAGCGAAAGACGGGUGAGAAUCCCGUCCACCGAUUGACUAAGGUUUCCAGAGGAAGGCUCGUCCGCUCUGGGUUAGUCGGGUCCUAAGCUGAGGCCGACAGGCGUAGGCGAUGGAUAACAGGUUGAUAUUCCUGUACCACCAUUAUUCGUUUUAAGCGAUGGGGGGACGCAGUAGGAUAGGCGAAGCGUGCUGUUGGAGUGCACGUCCAAGCAGUGAGAUUGAGUGUUAGGCAAAUCCGGCACUCUUAAGAUUGAGCUGUGAUGGGGAGAGGAACUUGUUCCUCGAGUCGUUGAUUUCACACUGCCGAGAAAAGCCUCUAGCUAGAAUAACGGUGCCCGUACCGCAAACCGACACAGGUAGUCAAGAUGAGAAUUCUAAGGUGAGCGAGCGAACUCUCGUUAAGGAACUCGGCAAAAUGACCCCGUAACUUCGGGAGAAGGGGUGCUCUUUGAGGUUCACGCUUCGAAGAGCCGCAGUGAAUAGGCCCAAGCGACUGUUUAUCAAAAACACAGGUCUCUGCUAAACCGUAAGGUGACGUAUAGGGGCUGACGCCUGCCCGGUGCUGGAAGGUUAAGAGGAGUGGUUAGCGCAAGCGAAGCUACGAAUCGAAGCCCCAGUAAACGGCGGCCGUAACUAUAACGGUCCUAAGGUAGCGAAAUUCCUUGUCGGGUAAGUUCCGACCCGCACGAAAGGCGUAACGAUUUGGGCACUGUCUCAACGAGAGACUCGGUGAAAUCAUAGUACCGGUGAAGAUGCCGGUUACCCGCGACAGGACGGAAAGACCCCGUGGAGCUUUACUGUAGCCUGAUAUUGAAAUUCGGUACAGUUUGUACAGGAUAGGUAGGAGCCUUAGAAGCGUGAGCGCUAGCUUACGUGGAGGCAUUGGUGGGAUACUACCCUAAUUGUAUUGGAUUUCUAACCCGCAGCACUUAUCGUGCUGGGAGACAGUGUCAGGCGGGCAGUUUGACUGGGGCGGUCGCCUCCUAAAGAGUAACGGAGGCGCUCAAAGGUUCCCUCAGAAUGGUUGGAAAUCAUUCAUAGAGUGUAAAGGCAUAAGGGAGCUUGACUGCGAGACCUACAAGUCGAGCAGGGUCGAAAGACGGACUUAGUGAUCCGGUGGUUCCGCAUGGAAGGGCCAUCGCUCAACGGAUAAAAGCUACCCCGGGGAUAACAGGCUUAUCUCCCCCAAGAGUUCACAUCGACGGGGAGGUUUGGCACCUCGAUGUCGGCUCAUCGCAUCCUGGGGCUGUAGUCGGUCCCAAGGGUUGGGCUGUUCGCCCAUUAAAGCGGUACGCGAGCUGGGUUCAGAACGUCGUGAGACAGUUCGGUCCCUAUCCGUCGUGGGCGUAGGAAAUUUGAGAGGAGCUGUCCUUAGUACGAGAGGACCGGGAUGGACAUACCUCUGGUGUACCAGUUGUCGUGCCAACGGCAUAGCUGGGUAGCUAUGUAUGGACGGGAUAAGUGCUGAAAGCAUCUAAGCAUGAAGCCCCCCU